UUCCUGAGCACAUGGAGCCCACAUGGAGCCUCGUGAAAUGAACCCUUUUGCAAACCACUUUGCUGGAGAGCUUCUGUGCUUCAUGAAGCUUCAUCUUACCAUCACUAUUAACACACACACAUUAUAAAUGCUUUUUCUUUAAAUCUUAAAAAUUUAAAUGGACUUUAAAAGAUAAAUCAUCAAUAAAAAACUAGUUUCUCUCCUAAACUGGAAGAAGUCAUUCUAAUAAGAAUUAUGAAAUAAAACUACAAAAUGUUUUCCUGAUACUUGCAUUUCUUUGUAUUUAACACUUCAAAGCUACCACUCUGAUCAUACUCCCAACCUCAAUACUCCACAAGGAAGUAAUGAACAAUCAUCAAUGAUAGAGAACUUAUGAACUGAAUCAUUAUUCUCUAUCCGCUUCACGCUCAGUAGGGAAUAUCACAACUCAUCAUCGUGGUUAGCGAGACCAAACACUUUAGAAACACAUUUCUCAAGUCAGAAACUAUAGAAAUGAUCCCUGAAAGUAUAGUCUUAACGAUUCUGAGGGUGAAGACAGGAAGUGAUUCAGUGGAAAAUCAUUGUCACUCAUGGUUUCACCUCGCCGUCACACAUGACCAAAACGACCAGUAAACAAAGUAUAACCGUAACAAAACCAUGACAUUAAAACUUCAGUCUAAACUGUUGCUAAAGCUGUUGAUCUAAUGUUAAAGUUCAAUUCCAUAAUACCCACAAUGCUUUGCACAUUGAGUCACAGACAUCCAUGAAUUUCAUUCAUAAUUGUUGACUUAUUAAAAGCCUGUACAAGCCAAAAGCUUUUAAAUUAACCAGGCUGUUUGGACAAUUAAUUUUUCAAAUUACUUUUCUACAUAUCUGCUGCUACCACUACACAUUAUACCAGAAUGAAACUCAAACCAGUUUGACUUAUCUUUAUAUUUCACAACACUGCUAGAUCCACUCUGAUCAUAUUCCCUUCAUCAAAGCUCCAUAAAGAAGGCUGAAGAAAAAUUAAAAAUGUCUCCCAUCAAUCAUUUUCCUCUAGUUACACAAGCACAUUCACUGUCCUCUGCCCAGUUAAACCACUGCUACAUAUCUGGAAUAGAUCUGCCUGUUCAACACUCUUUGACCAACAGGUGGUUUCCUGAGCACAUGAAGCCUCGUGAGAUGAAUCCUUUUGCAAACCAAUUUGCUGGAGAGCUUCAUUGCUUCAUGAAGCUUCAUCUCGCCAUCACUAGCUACACACACAUAUUAUGAACAAUUUUUCUUUAAAUCUAAA